rnacentral:rRNA from 1 species
CUCGGAGUUUGAUCCUGGCUCAGAUUGAACGCUGGCGGAAUGCUUUACACAUGCAAGUCGAGCGAUGAAGCUGGAGCUUGCUCCGGUGGAUUAGUGGCGAACGGGUGAGUAAUAUAUCGGAACGUGCCCAGUCGUGGGGGAUAACGUAGCGAAAGUUACGCUAAUACCGCAUACGAUCUAAGGAUGAAAGCGGGGGAUCGCAAGACCUCGCGCGAUUGGAGCGGCCGAUAUCAGAUUAGGUAGUUGGUGGGGUAAACGGCUCACCAAGCCAACGAUCUGUAGCUGGUCUGAGACGACGACCAGCCACACUGGAACUGAGACACGGGUCCAGACUCCGUAC